rnacentral:piRNA from 1 species
UACACAAGUAUUUGUAUUCCUGUGUGCAA